rnacentral:rRNA from 1 species
GUCGAACGGAGCUGCUUUGAUGAAGUUUUCGGAUGGAUUUAAAACCGCUUAGUGGCGGACGGGUGAGUAACGCGUGGGUAACCUGCCUCACACUGGGGGAUAACAGUUAGAAAUAGCUGCUAAUACCGCAUAAGCGCACGGUUCCGCAUGGAACAGUGUGAAAAACUCCGGUGGUGUGAGAUGGACCCGCGUCUGAUUAGCCAGUUGGCGGGGUAACGGCCCACCAAAGCGACGAUCAGUAGCCGGCCUGAGAGGGUGAACGGCCACAUUGGGACUGAGACACGGCCCAAACUCCUACGGGAGGCAGCAGUGGGGAAUAUUGCACAAUGGGGGAAACCCUGAUGCAGCGACGCCGCGUGAGUGAAGAAGUAUUUCGGUAUGUAAAGCUCUAUCAGCAGGGAAGAAAGUGACGGUACCUGAAUAAGAAGCCCCGGCUAACUACGUGCCAGCAGCCGCGGUAAUACGUAGGGGGCAAGCGUUAUCCGGAUUUACUUGGUGUAAAGGGAGCGUAGACGGCAAGGCAAGUCUGAAGUGAAAGCCCGGUGCUUAACGCCGGGACUGCUUUGGAAACUGUUUAGCUGGAGUGCCGGAGAGGUAAGCGGAAUUCCUAGUGUAGCGGUGAAAUGCGUAGAUAUUAGGAAGAACACCAGUGGCGAAGGCGGCUUACUGGACGGUAACUGAUGUUGUGGCUCGAAAGCGUGGGGAGCAAACAGGAUUAGAUACCCUGGUAGUCCACGCCGUAAACGAUGAUUGCUAGGUGUAGGUGGGUAUGGACCCAUCGGUGCCGCAGCUAACGCAAUAAGCAAUCCACCUGGGGAGUACGUUCGCAAGAAUGAAACUCAAAGGAAUUGACGGGGACCCGCACAAGCGGU